rnacentral:rRNA from 1 species
CAACGCUGGCGGCGUGCCUAACACAUGCAAGUCGAACGCGAAAGCCCCGCAAGGGGUAAGUAGAGUGGCAAACGGGUGAGUAACGCGUGGGUGACCUGCCUUCGAGCGGGGGAUAACGUUUCGAAAGGAACGCUAAUACCGCAUAACAUCCUGCCUUUGAAGAGGUGGAGAUCAAAGCUGGGGAUCGCAAGACCUGGCACUUGAAGAGGGGCCCGCGUCCGAUUAGCUAGUUGGUGAGGUAACGGCUCACCAAGGCUUCGAUCGGUAUCCGGCCUGAGAGGGCGGACGGACACACUGGGACUGAGACACGGCCCAGACUCCUACGGGAGGCAGCAGUGGGGGAUUGUUCGCAAUGGGCGCAAGCCUGACGACGCAACGCCGCGUGGAGGAUGAAGACCUUCGGGUCGUAAACUCCUUUCGAUCGAGACGAAAGGCUUCUGGGUGAAUAUCCCGGAAGAUUGACGGUACCGAGAGAAGAAGCCCCGGCUAACUCCGUGCCAGCAGCCGCGGUAAUACGGGGGGGGCAAGCGUUGUUCGGAAUUACUGGGCGUAAAGGGCUCGUAGGCGGCCAACUAAGUCAGACGUGAAAUCCCUCGGCUUAACCGGGGAACUGCGUCUGAUACUGGAUGGCUUGAGAUUGGGAGAGGGAUGCGGAAUUCCAGGUGUAGCGGUGAAAUGCGUAGAUAUCUGGAGGAACACCGGUGGCGAAGGCGGCAUCCUGGACCAACACUGACGCUGAGGAGCGAAAGCCAG